rnacentral:rRNA from 1 species
UGCAGUCGAGCGGAAGAUGGGAGCUUGCUCCCUGAUGUUAGCGGCGGACGGGUGAGUAACACGUGGGUAACCUGNCCUGUAAGACUGGGAUAACUCCGGGAAACCGGGGCUAAUACCGGAUGGUUGUCUGAACCGCAUGGUUCAGACAUAAAAGGUGGCUUCGGCUACCACUUACAGAUGGACCCGCGGCGCAUUAGCUAGUUGGUGAGGUAACGGCUCACCAAGGCGACGAUGCGUAGCCGACCUGAGAGGGUGAUCGGCCACACUGGGACUGAGACACGGCCCAGACUCCUACGGGAGGCAGCAGUAGGGAAUCUUCCGCAAUGGACGAAAGUCUGACGGAGCAACGCCGCGUGAGUGAUGAAGGUUUUCGGAUCGUAAAGCUCUGUUGUUAGGGAAGAACAAGUGCCGUUCAAAUAGGGCGGCACCUUGACGGUACCUAACCAGAAAGCCACGGCUAACUACGUGCCAGCAGCCGCGGUAAUACGUAGGUGGCAAGCGUUGUCCGGAAUUAUUGGGCGUAAAGGGCUCGCAGGCGGUUUCUUAAGUCUGAUGUGAAAGCCCCCGGCUCAACCGGGGAGGGUCAUUGGAAACUGGGGAACUUGAGUGCAGAAGAGGAAGUGGAAUUCCACGUGUAGCGGUGAAAUGCGUAGAGAUGUGGAGGAACACCAGUGGCGAAGGCGACUCUCUGGUCUGUAACUGACGCUGAGGAGCGAAAGCGUGGGGAGCGAACAGGAUUAGAUACCCUGGUAGUCCACGCCGUAAACGAUGAGUGCUAAGUGUUAGGGGG